AAAUUGAAGAGUUUGAUCAUGGCUCAGAUUGAACGCUGGCGGCAGGCCUAACACAUGCAAGUCGAGCGGAAACGAGUUAUCUGAACCUUCGGGGGACGAUAACGGCGUCGAGCGGCGGACGGGUGAGUAAUGCCUAGGAAAUUGCCCUGAUGUGGGGGAUAACCAUUGGAAA
rnacentral:rRNA from 1 species